rnacentral:rRNA from 1 species
UACGUAGGGCGCAAGCGUUGUCCGGAAUUAUUGGGCGUAAAGAGCUCGUAGGCGGCCUGUUGCGUCCGCUGUGAAAUCCCGGGGCUCAACCCCGGGCCUGCAGUGGAUACGGGCUGGCUAGAGGCAGGCAGGGGAGAACGGAAUUCCUGGUGUAGCGGUGAAAUGCGCAGAUAUCGAGGAGGAACAGCCGGUAGGCGUAAGGCGGGUUCUCUGGGCCUGUGACUGACGCUGGAGGUGACGAAAGCGUCGGGGGAGCAAACAGG